GACGGUGCAGCUGCGGAUCACUGAUGCUCCCUGCAGCUCCUGGAUCCUCGAUAACUGCAGCGUCGGUGGUGUGCAUGAACCAGCAGAAAAAUGUUGGUUUCUGGAAGAAAAGUUAUUGGUCGGCCAAAAUCCCCCAAGAUUGGCAACAAAACACAGUACAGAACAACAGGAGGAAUGAGGAGGCAAAUCCAGGUGUGUCUGCAUCAUCCUACUCCUGCUAAUCAGAGCUGUCAAUCAUUGCCGGGGGGGCGGGUCCCAGGUGCACAGGCCAGCUGGAAACUGGAGGGUGCUGUCUGAAUGCUGAGGAGGCUUUGAAGCAAAGGUCCAGUUAGAGCUGCCCUGAAAGUAAAUGAUGACCUCGAGUACAGCGUGAAGGGAAGGUUACUGAAGAGACGCAGGAGCACAAGUUAGAAGUGUCCCAACUCCAGGAAACUAGAAACUUCAGAUGAAAUCCAACGACGACGCUCGGUCUGGCUGCUGAAACAUUAAAUGUUCCCUAAAUAGGUUCUCACCUCCCCCGCUGCUUUUCUGUGUUUGUCACACUGAUUUGAUACCUUGCUGACUGUUCUCUCGCCUGCCAGUCUGAGCUGCUCUCGAGAAGUUGUCUUGUGUUUUUCUUUCACCUUGACAGACGAGGAAAACGGGCAGAGCGGCGUGUCCGAAGAGCAGGAAGUGACUUCGGCUCUUAUCGGCUGCUGCAUCAUCGGUGCAGACUGCAGAUAUGACCUUUAUCUGCUCUAGAAUAUUUUGAUAUCGAGUCUGAACUUCCUUCUCGACCUUUGGAUAAACAAACACCGGCAGCAGCAGCAGCAGCAGCAGCAGCGACUUUAUAUGUGACGUAGCGCUCACUGGCUAACACGUCUUAAAUGGAUUUCUUUCUUUCUUAAACUUAUGCAGAGCUGAACCUGUGUUGUUGACAUUUAUACGAGUGUUAAAUGAACGUCAUCAACCGUCGGGAAGUUGAACUUUAUAAACACUCUUGAAAAUGACUGAAUCUGGCUACAAAAGAGCUCAAAUUUGACCUAAUGCUAACGUCACGAGAACGUUACGUUAACAUGAAGUGUAGCAGGUAUGACGUUUAACUUAAUUAGCAUGCUAACGAUUGCUAGUUAGCGCAAACACAUCCUCAUGUCUAGCCCCUGUGAUGCCUUGCACAAAUUAAGCUUUCCAACAUCUAAUCCUUGUUCUCCGAGCAGGUGCAGGUUCACAACUUUGAAUACAGUGAGUAUUAUUAUUAGCG